CUACGGGUUGCUGCAGUGAGGAAUUAUGCGCAAUGGGGGAAACCCUGACGCAGCAACGCCGCGUGAGCGAAGAAGGCCCUCGGGUCGUAAAGCUCUGUCAAGUGGGAAAAAAAUCUUUUGAUCAAUUGUCAAAAGACUUGAUGGUACCACUGGAGGAAGCACCGGCUAACUCCGUGCCAGCAGCCGCGGUAAUACGGAGGGUGCAAGCGUUGUUCGGAUUUACUGGGCGUAAAGAGCGUGUAGGCGGUUUAGCAAGUCAGAUGUGAAAGCCCUGGGCUCAACCCGGGAAGUGCAUUUGAAACUGCUUCACUAGAGUAUGGGAGAGGAGAUUGGAAUUCCUGGUGUAGAGGUGAAAUUCGUAGAUAUCAGGAGGAACACCCGUGGCGAAGGCGAUUCUCUGGACCAAUACUGACGCUGAGACGCGAAAGCGUGGGGAGCAAACAGGAUUAGAUACCCCCGUAGUC
rnacentral:rRNA from 1 species